UUUCAGUUCCUAUCUGGAACUUUCAUCAGGAUCAAACAUGUUUGAUCCUGAUGAAAGUUCCAGAUAGGAACU